rnacentral:RNase_P_RNA from 1 species
UCAAGAGAUCCAGGUGAUCGCGGGCGGACUCGAUCCGCACGAGGAAAGUCCGAACUCCACAGAGCACGCUGCCGGCUAACAACCGGGCGCAGCAAUGCGCGGAGCAGGGCCACAGAAACAGACUGCCUAAAGACCCGUCAGGGUCUGACGGCGAGGGUGAAAAGGCGAGGUAAGAGCUCACCGGCGGCGCGGUAACGUGUCCGGCCAGGCAACCCCCAGCGGGAGCAAGGUCAAGCAGCGAGUGGCAGGCCUCGCAAGAGGCCCGUACAGCGACGGCUCGUCGCCCGUCUCGCGGGUAGACUGCUUGAGCCGUUGAGCAAUCAACGGCCUAGAGAAAUGAUCGCCGCCGAUCUUCGGAUCGGUCACAGAAUUCGGCUUAUCGAUCUCUUGAGCGC